AGGAAACAAAGCAUUUGGUCCCAGCUUAAGUCAUCUUGUUCCACACAAGUGGCGUGCAAAUUGCUCUUGGAGAUCACUGUCCUAGCAGAGUGGCUGCCACAUGGCCAGUAGCAGGUGCUUAGCAAAGUCUUCCUCUUUGUGGCAUUAGGGCCUCAGCCUCUUUCACAGGCUGACUCAAGUUGAGAACAUUAUUGGUCUAUGUAGCUUGUCUCCCUCUCUAGCCAUCUUGGCAGCUGCUCCUGAUUGGAGGCCAUCCUGUGUCUGAGGCAGGAAGAGGAUUGUGGUCACCAAGAAGAUGGAGAAGGUGUCACAGUCAGUCUACUCUAGGCUCCAACUUGUUAUUAAAGGUGGAAAGUACAUGUUAGUGUUCAAAAUAGACUCUGGAGAAAAUCAGAUGAGGCAAAAUGAAAUUGGUCAUCCUUGCUAGUAACUGCCCAGCCUUUGAGGAUGUUUGGAAUAGACUACUGUGCCAUUUUGGCCAAAGCUGGUGUCCAUCAUGACAAUGGCAAUAAUAUUGAAUUGGGCACAGUGUGCAGAAAAUACUAUGGAGUAUAUACCCUGGCUGCUACUAAACCAGUUGAUUCUUAAAUUAUUAGAAGUAGGCCAGAGCAGACUGGAGAAAAAGUAAGACAUGCAAUAUUUUUCUCCAAUCAGACUUU
rnacentral:lncRNA from 1 species